rnacentral:rRNA from 1 species
CAAGUACCGUGAGGGAAAGUUGCAAAGUACUUUGAAGAGAGAGUUCAAGAGGACGUGAAACCGGUAGGGUGGAAGCAGAUAAAGUUGACGAACGUGUGUCGUAUUCAGAACUACAGUUUGUGGUUUGUUUUUACGAUCGAUGUGGGCUGGCGUCUUUGGUUAACUUAGUGUCUGGCGGCAAUGGUGACCCUGCGGAGGGAUAAUCGGUUGUCGUGCGAUGCUUGGUAUGGCUAGAGGUUCGCUGGUCUUAUAGUCAUCGCUUUAUCUGACCCGUCUUGAAACACGGACCAAGGAGUGUAGCGCUUACGCGAGUCUUAGAGUGUGUCAAAACUUUGAGGCGUAACGAAAGUAAAUGUGGAUUUAUUCACUGACUUGGGAUGCGUUGUCUUUUUUGGAUAGCGUUGGACCAUGGUUUUAUCGUAAUCGCUUGCGAUGCGGUGAAAAUAGAGCGUAAGCGGUGCGACCCGAAAGAUGGUGAACUAUGCCUGAGCAGGAUGAAGCCGGAGGAAACUCUGGUGGAAGUCCGAAGCGGUUCUGACGUGCAAAUCGAUC